AUUUUAGUUGGAAAUGUUGAAAUAUGUCCUGUAUUUGGGUACCUGGGACAUAUGGAGUUAUUGGUACAACUGUAGU
rnacentral:ncRNA from 17 species